UACGGAGGGUGCAAGCGUUAAUCGGAAUUACUGGGCGUAAAGCGCACGCAGGCGGCUGAGUCAGUCGAUUGUGAAAGCCCUGGGCUUAACCUGGGAAUUGCAGUCGAUACUACUCAGCUAGAGUAUGGGAGAGGGUAGUGGAAUUCCAGGUGUAGCGGUGAAAUGCGUAGAUAUCUGGAGGAAUACCGGUGGCGAAGGCGGCAUCCUGGACCGGCAUUGACGCUGAGGAGCGAAAGCCAGGGGAGCAAACGGG
rnacentral:rRNA from 1 species